rnacentral:rRNA from 2 species
ACCAUCCUCCAAGGCUAAAUACUCCUGACUGACCGAUAGUGAACCAGUACCGUGAGGGAAAGGCGAAAAGAACCCCGGCGAGGGGAGUGAAAAAGAACCUGAAACCGUGUACGUACAAGCAGUGGGAGCACCUUCGGGUGUGACUGCGUACCUUUUGUAUAAUGGGUCAGCGACUUAUAUUCUGUAGCAAGGUUAACCGUAUAGGGGAGCCGCAGGGAAACCGAGUCUUAACUGGGCGUUAAGUUGCAGGGUAUAGACCCGAAACCCGGUGAUCUAGCCAUGGGCAGGUUGAAGGUUGGGUAACACUAACUGGAGGACCGAACCGACUAAUGUUGAAAAAUUAGCGGAUGACUUGUGGCUGGGGGUGAAAGGCCAAUCAAACCGGGAGAUAGCUGGUUCUCCCCGAAAGCUAUUUAGGUAGCGCCUCGUGAAUUCAUCUUCGGGGGUAGAGCACUGUUUCGGCUAGGGGGUCAUCCCGACUUACCAACCCGAUGCAAACUACGAAUACCGAAGAAUGUUAUCACGGGAGACACACGGCGGGUGCUAACGUCCGUCGUGAAGAGGGAAACAACCCAGACCGCCAGCUAAGGUCCCAAAGUCAUGGUUAAGUGGGAAACGAUGUGGGAAGGCACAGACAGCCAGGAUGUUGGCUUAGAAGCAGCCAUCAUUUAAAGAAAGCGUAAUAGCUCACUGGUCGAGUCGGCCUGCGCGGAAGAUGUAACGGGGCUAAACCAUGCACCGAAGCUGCGGCAGCGACACUAUGUGUUGUUGGGUAGGGGAGCG